GGUUAUAACCGCGUAUGGUGACCGUUCUAAGCCCGUUAUUAAACGCGUUGCUAUAUUUCUUGCUUGCUCUUGCCAGUCUGAUAACUAUUCGCUAGCUCUUUCUGACGAGUCUUGCUCUCGCGAAUAAAACGCGGGUACUAAGGGGAUGAAACGCUGAUGCUAUGGGGAUUAUAGGCAGAUGCUACGGGGAUGAUGCGCGGUAUAAUGUGGACACUUUGUAGUGGGCAUAGUAGUCCGUAUCGCGUUACAUUUCGUGCCUGAUACGUUCACAGCACGGUCAUGGUAUGAUACGGUGUAGUGGGCAGAGACCUUAACUGUGUACCUACUAUUGACGGCCGCCGGUUAUCAAUCGUCACAAAACUGGCGGUCAGUGUCAAACGCCAUAUGUUUUGUCAGGAAAGUGACGGUCAGACGUGACAUAAACACGACUUAAGUCGCGAUUUAAAGUACAAGUUACAAUGAAAAUGACCAUUUCUGUCAAUAUCAAUAUUGGUUUUGUAUUUGAAUUGAUAUUCAGGUAAAUCUAUGAGUUUUUAACUACAUAAUAAGAAUAAAGAAUGUCUAAAGCUUAACCCCCUUAUUCAUAAAACUUUACGGGCCUGGUUUAGUUAACAUAUGUUUCAUCCCUUUCUUACAAAUUCAUAAGUCAAAAUGACAGAUAAGGACAAACGAUUAUUAGCUAAUUGAGGUUUGCAGUGCGUUUAUGAAUAAGGGGGUAAGAAUAUGGCUGUAUUUUAGAUAUACCAUCGUCCACAUUAUUAACUAACCAAUUUUCAACCUUAUACUAAACACAUAAGGUCCAUCAAUAGUCUGUCAGUACCUGGUUUCUGGGGCUCGAUCAGUUCUACAUGUCAAUGUCUCCUAAACAUAUUGUGAAUCCAUAUCGUAAGUUUACUUUGAACGUACAAAGUGUGCUCGCUUUAAUUUUGUACUGGUAGAAAUAUUACACUAUAAGCCGGUAUAAAAGCACUUGAAUAUGUAGCUGAAAAACAUAAAUAAAUCUUUUAAAAUUCACUUUUGUGUGGUAUAGUUAGGAUUUUUAACGUGUCCGAAUGUUACUUAAGAGCUAUUCUUAGUAUUCUUACGAUUCGGACACUUUAACCCUUGUGACGCCUCGCCUAUUAUAUACCGGGCGAAGUCGUAAAACUUAUUGGAAUGUAAGCUUAAUAUUAAACCAUACCCGUGCGCGUCUAUGGACGUUUUUAGCUAUCAAAGGGUUAAAAUUCUAACUAUACACAUAACAUAAUUUAUUUAAUACAGUUUGACCGCUACAUUUACAAGGUAUUCCUGAAAUACUCUGAUCGUUUGGCAGUUGAAAUUUGUUUUAUAAUGAUUUCUAUGAUUUUUGGUUUUGAAUUAAUAAAUGUUAUAUGUAACCGUCACGCGCGCCGCUAUCAAAGCCAUCUUAAUAAACUAUACCUAUAAAAAUACAGUAACAACGUAUAAACUGCCUACGACGAUGGAUCUCAUAUACCUAUUUGAAUAUUUUGCCAUUAUUUUUCAGAAAGGUUUCAAGAGUAAAAAAAGGUAACAAAAAAAAAAGAUUUUGUCUGUACCACUUAUUUGCACCUAACUUUCCACUUUAUCUGGAAAAUGUUAAAUGUAUCAUGUCAUAAGUAUAUAUUCAUUAUUCUGCUCAUCCUAAUAGUCCGCAUCCCCGCCUGAACUGCGGGCGCAAAAGACCUAAAAAAGAAAAUAUUAAUAGGACCCGAAGUUAAUUAAAAUAUAAGACCAAAAUAAAAAGAAGAUUUAAGGAUGAGUCCUUGUAAGUUUUUAGGGUUAGCAACGGUCGUGUAACUCCACUAGAGUUGCAAGCAACCAAGGCUGCUUUAAUCUCGUAAGAUACCACACAAAGUUACCUUAUUUUGAAUUUGAACCUUGUUCUAUAAGGACUAUAAGUAAUUUGUAAUGAGUUUCAUUUGUUUGAAAAAGCAAUGAAACUCAAGAAAUGCUACUUUAUUUUGUUCACGAAAGGUUCUAAUUAUAUUGCAAAGAAUAUACGAGGUUCAUCAUUAGUCCGGCAGCAUUUAGUUAUUUGCAGUAUUGUAAUGGCUUGUACAUUUGUCAUCAAAUAUAUGUUUACACUUUUACACCUUACUCCUUUGUAAUAAGACGAAAAAUGUAAACAUAUCUUUGACGUCGACUGUACCAUCGCCCACAUUAACUGUUCAUCGGUAAACCUUAUUACAAAAGGCAUAAGGUCCACCCAUGGGCAGUUAAGAGUGUUGGUGCUUGUAGGCGGCGCGCGCGGCGUGCAAUCGAUGGUGAUCCCAAUGUGAUGAGGAGCGGCGUCGCGGGACAACAUAUGUAUGUUAUAAAUUUAUCGCUGUGCCACUGUUUUUAACUUCGACUUGUUUCAAGUUGGGUAUUAGUCAAGUGCAAAUUAUUAUAUAAUAAUAUCUGUUUUUUUUUAUCAUAAAAAUGAUUUGAUUAAGUAUCAUAGUUUUAGGUAUUUUUAUUUGACCUAAAUAAUCUCACUUGCAUUUCUUGCUUAGUAAAUUUUGCACUUGAUAAGUAUUCGGCCAAGAGAUUAUAAUAUAUAAUAUCUUGAGACUCGUCUCCAAAUACCUAGUAUUUUAUUUAUUUGUUAAAAAAAAUAAAGUUAUGUAUAUUGAAUAUACCGCGGCGCCGCUCGCAAGGUGCUAACUAUAAGAUUUUGUACGUACCCGUUUGUAUGUCUGUAAGUAUUUAAGAAAGCUUCUGUGUUGUCUGCCCCGUUGUGCGUACUCGAUGUGUAUGUAUAGCAUUUGUUAGUUUUAAGAACGAAUUUACCAAACAGAAGAAGCUUAUGCUGAGUAUAUAAACUAUUUCUGGAAUACGUGUGCCUUCAAACUAGGUACUAGCAACGAAUGCCAGUCAAUGGUGUGGUAGCUGACGGUACUAGCACUUACAUCUAAAGAAAUCUUGUAAGUCCAACCCACACGAAUGCGAAAUAAAACCGACUUUGGUUGUUUGUGUGCGUUGCGUCUAUAAGUGACUUAACACAUUCAUUGCCACUAAGUGCUACGGGUUACGCUCGUAGCGUGUAUCCACGGUUUCGCCGUAUGGAGCGCGUAGUCGUUACGAACAGUGUACCCGACAGUCGGGUUCUCGGCCCUGAAUGUGUUAAGAUGUGAGGUUCUCUUUAGAAUGGUUUUAUCUAACUUUACUUGGAAUAAUCUAUUCCUGUUUGGUAGAUUUAACGUUUAAACGUAGAGCCGCGACGUUGUGUGAAGCAUCUUCUACCGUGGUAUUGAUAUGCCGUAUUUUUAUGUUUUAUUAUAAUAUUUAAUUUACUGACAAAGAUAAGCCAAGGAUGGACGAAAUUAUACGUUUACUGGUAAUACCUAUGUACUACUUCUCAAAACGGUUUCAACAUACUCUCCUGCUCGCAGUCCCUAAGAGAAAAAAAAAACGAUUUGCAUAACCGAAGUGAUCCCAUAAGAGCACCGUGAACUAAGUUUUAUACGGUGCUCUAAAAAGAUAUUAAAGUCAUCUCACGCAUCACGCAUCAUCGCGAGUUAAUUUUGAGGAGUGUUAACAGUCACAGUAUAGUUCUACUUACAUUAACAAACUUAUAUAGUAUAAGUAGUAGUAUAGUAUCUUGCAGAUUUAGCCAAUUUCCGUUUUAUAUUUGACGUGAUAUUAUCAUUAAGACGCGUUCACACGGCGGCGCGGCGUUUUAAGCUGGGAACACACUCACGGAGCGUAGUAUUUACCUUUAGUUUUGUUAACUAUUUGUGUCCAAACAAGUUUGAACCCUAUUGCUUAAGGAUUACAGUUCUAUGAAACGUGGCAGGUAUUUACUGGGUUCAAAAAGGUCACUUUUCCUACGACUUAGUAUUAGCCAAGUGUGAGCUCCGUGAGUUGUCGCAAUCGUAUUAGUAGUGCAAUUAACCGCUACGGCGGAACCUUGGUUUUUGUAUUCUUACCCAUCCAUUGUAAAUAAUCAAUUUGAUAAUAAAAGUGUAUUCCGUAUAACGCAUGUACAAGUCUGGUACCAAAUUAAAUAAUUAUAAAUUAAUGUUCACGGAAAUUUCACCUAGUGUGCUCCGACGUUCAAUUUCGUUUUGACGAAUCAGACGUCGGUACAGCGCAGACGAGCUCUUCGCUGAUUGGCGGAUUAGAAUCGGCGGUUGUACACUAGGUGGAAUUUAGUUUUAGUAGAUUCGUAGCAAAAUAUAUUGGUAUUUUGUAUUGAGCGAGUGUGAUGUGAUCCUUUUGCUCGCUUCAAGGGAACUUCCAACGAUUUUUACAAUGUACAGGAUUUUGUGAUAACUACGUUUUCGACCUUCAGCUAACUGCGACCGUCCUUGAUGUUUUCUUAACGCUUCUCAUAGUUGUAAACAUAGUACUCUAUCUGUCAAAUGUACCUACAACUGGGGAAUCAGAUAACGCGCAUAUAUAACGUAAAAUCUUAGUUAUUACGUUAGUUAUAGUGGCGUUUAUCUUAAGCUCCAUUAAAGGGUCUACAGCAUUUUAAAACACACUGAAAAUGCGGUAUAAACGCUUUAUACAGUGAAACCUGGUUAAGUGGGACCUGGAUAAGUGAGAAACCUCUAUAGCUGGGACUCAUGGUGCGGUCCCGACACUUUAGCACUGAAUUACCUCUGUUACUGAGAAAAAACGAACCUCUAUAACUGGGAUUCAUUGUUGUGAUUUUAUAGUCACAUUUACCUCUAUAAUUGAGACAGAGAGUGUAUUUUACCUCUUUUACUGAGCCUAUAUUUAUAAGAUUACAUUUUCCUAAUUGUUUUUUAGAAUUUUAUAGGGAAUUGACUUCUGUAUCUGAGAUAACGUCAAUCUAUGACCUCUCUAACUUGGACUUCAUUGAACAAUUUCCGUAUUCUUACUAACUCUUAGUUUAUCCACAAAUUCCGCAUUUGCCUAAUUUUGUCUAAACAACUUCAAGUUUGAUUUAGUUAAUUUAUGUAAGUAGUUAAAACUAUCGAAACGAAAACUGAAAUUUUGAGAAGUAACACGAAAAAAUAAAUUUCCAUUUAUUAAAUUUCUAAUACGCAAUGAAGUCCGUAUCAAAUUUAAUUUAAUUUUGAAAUAUUUGGAGAAUCAUUCAAAAUAAAUUCAAAGAAAUAUUUAAACAGACUUAAAAAAUAUUUAGGGACAAGGAUUAUUUUAACUUAUUUAUUUUUAAAGACAAUUACUAAAUACCUUAUUAACCACUUCUAUAACUGAAAUAUACUCUAUUCUCACCUCUAUUAAUGGAACCCUCUGUAAAUGAGACAGAAAUUUAUUUGUACCUGGCAAACUGGGAGCCUGUGUAAGUGGAAAAGACAAAUUUGCUCGUCCCUUGAGAUCUCACUUAUCCAGGUUUCACUGUAUUAUUAAAUGUGUAGUAAUUCCUGUAUUCGACACGUACAAAUGCUCCGAUAAGCAAAUACUUACAGUCGCCAUCAGAUAUAUCGGAGCGGCCAAGGUGUUCACAAUAUCUGAACACUAACGCCCUGUCAAUAGAGGCGUGCUCAGAUAUUUGUGAGCACCUUGGCCGCUCCGAUAUAUCUGAUGGUGACUGUACAUAGUAUGAUUUUGAUCGUGUCAAGUACAGGUCCUGAAUGUGUUGCGCUACACAUUUAAACAGACUUUGUAUUUUGACAUAAAGCGAUCACUGUUUUUCUUAGUUAUUCAAUAAUGACGUAUGUUUUAUAAUAACGACCGUUCGACAACUAUCAACUAGAGGAAUCAUGUUAAUUGUACUUUGAGCCUUGUGUGUGAAGCAUAGAGUUGAAUAUUAAUUGACAUGGUUGCGCGGUCGCGCGGUAAAGCCGUAAGUAAACGAGAACUGUGCCUUCCGGGCUUUGGGGCGGCGCCCCCCCUCCCGCACCCGUUUCCCUCCCUCGCCCCUCCCCGCCGCCCCGCGCCCGAGACAUAAUAAAUGCUCGUAAUGUAUUCUAUUGUAUUUAUAUCAUAGUUAAAAGUUUUAUUAAAAAAGUUGCUCAAU